rnacentral:lncRNA from 1 species
GAGCUAAACAAAAAAAUUCUCAACUGAGGAAUCUCGAAUGGCUGAGAAGCACUUAAAGAAAUGUUCAACAUCCUUAGUCAUCAGGGAAAUGCAAAUCAAAACAACCCUGAGAUUCCACCUCACACCAGUCAGAAUGGCUAAGAUCAAAAACUCAGGUGACAGCAGAUGCUGACAAGGAUGUGGAGAAAGAGGAACACUUCUCCAUUGCUGGUGGGACUGCAAGCUGGUAAAAAUCUCUUUGGAAAUCAAUCUGGAAAAAUAGAAAUAGUUCUACCUGAAGACCCAGCAAUACCAUUCCUGCGCAUAUACCCAAAAGAUGCUCCAACAUAUAACAAGGACACAUGCUCCAUUAUGUUUUUAGAACAAAAAAAUCUUAGCCCAUUUUAUUUGCUUUUAUAAAGCUUGUGAUUUUACUACACAUGCUUGAGAAGGAUUAGGUUGAAUAUAUUUUUCCCACACUAUUUAUCUUUUGGAGCAGCUGGGAUGAUAGCAAGUCAGUCACAGUUCACAUAACUCUCUUACAUCCAUAAAUGGCCAGCCUUCCCCACUGUCGGCAUCCCUCAGCAGGACUGAGACGUCCGUCUGUUAGAAGGGAUGGGGUUACAGUGACAUAGCAUCUCACCCAAAGUCCGCAGUUAGUUUACCUGAGGGCUCAUGCUUACUGGUGCCAUCUCCUCUAUGCUUCGGGAAAUAUGUGUAGAUAAAUGCCCUUUAUUGUGGUAUCAUUUGGAAUCCUCUUGGCCCCUCCCCCGAAACCUUCCCCUGGACCCCCCCUUUUCAUCUCCUUUUCCCAACUUCUGGCAAUGCUUGAUCUUACUGUCUCUGGAGUAAGCGCUGUACAGAUGGAAUCGUGCACUCUGUAGCCUGUUCAGAGUGGUUCCCAUGACGUAGCCAAGACAGUUUGGUUUUCCUCCUUUUGGUUUAUGGCAGAAUGGUUGAUUUCUUCAAGUGUGGACUCCAAUUCCAUUCAUCUGGAAGUUCCACAAUCUAGCCUUCUCUCUGCUAAUGGACAUCUCUGUUGUUCACAGGUUUUUCCAAUUUUGCAUGAGGCUUAUAUAAGCAUCUCACGGUGUAGUUUUUCACACCACAGCUGUGAAUUAUCUAGUUCUUUGGACAUUUCCAAGGUUUAGGACUGUGGGACUAAAUGGUAUGUCUAGUCCUGUAAGACAUCGCUAAGCGUCUUCCCCACUAACUGCACCUUUUAUAUUUGACCAGCAGGGAGCAAGGCUCCCGUUGAUGCACGGCCACACCCAUGCUUGGUAUCAUUAAUUGGUUAGAAGGCACUAAGGUGGUCCUCUUCCUUUGCCUCCGUUACCCGGAUGUCCUAGGAUACAGAGCAUCUUUGCAUGUGCAUCUUUGACAUCUUUGCUGACACAUCUAUUUAGGUUUUACACCUACUUUAAACAUCAAGUUGCUCAUUUUCUGAUGGUUAAACUCUUUCAAGAUUUUUCCGUUUUGCAUAUUUUUAGAUAGCAGCCCCUGAUUAGAUCGGUGUUUUCACACCCUGAAUGGCUUUUCGUAUUGUAUAGAGUGCUUCCAGUGAAGUCCAGAUUAUCCAUUUUGUUUUCAUUAAUUGAACUUUACGUGUUGUGUGUGAAAGUCACCAUCAGGAGGGUAUUUAUAUUUCUUGUGCUAUCUAUUUUUUUCAUAGCUUUGCGUUUUUACAUUUGUGUAAAUGAUUUAUUCAAGUUAAUGUUUGCCAAGGGUACAAAGUUUAUGCCUAGCUCUAGAUUCCUUUUUUUUUUUUUGGUACAUGUCUGUGUGUUUGUGGGGUGUGUGUGUGUAUGUGUGAGAUGUAGGCAUGCAUCUGUUGUAUGCACAUGUGUGUGUCCAGACGUGACAGUUGCACAUGCACAGAGAGGUUGGAGGUGGCUAUGGGUACACUGCUCUUUCAGUCACCGCCUUACUUCCUCAAGGCAGUGGUGUCUCACAGAACCUGGAGCUAGGCUGGCAGCUAGUCAGUCACAGGCCUUCGCCUGUUUUCACCUUUCCCAAGACUGGGGUUACAGACUUACAUGUAGUCACAUUCAACUCUUAAAGUUGAUUCUGGGCCUUUAAACAGAUUUUUGUCUAACUUGCUUUUCAAACUCUCUGAUAAAAUUCUUUUUGUUUUCUGAAAGGAAAAAAAAAAGGAACAUUAUUCGAUGAAUAACCUUUUCUACUAUUUGCUUUAACGGCAUAUGAGUUUGACGCUCUCUCAGCUAUGUUCUCAGCCUUCCAGUUCUCUAGUAUGAAACAGGAAGAUUGACAGCCCUAACUGAGAUAAACAGCAGGGACAAUAUCUAAUAAGCAGAAGCAAUUCAUCAGGUAGGUUUCUUUUUUAAACUUAAAUAUUUUUAGGAUUCUAGGAGAUACUCAAGGUUUUAUUAUCAAUGUUCUUGUACAUUAUCUCUUUCAGAAAUUUUUCAUUGGUAUAGGACAGAAUCAAAGCUGUCAGUAAUCUAUAAAAAUCUAACAUCUAUAAAGUGAUAAAAUAAUAUAUAGUCUCAAGUCUUAGUAUUUACUUAAAUUACACCAGCAUGGCUUGUGGUAAGAAAAAAGUUGAAGAGUUAUAUAAGAUUUCUUUCAAAUAUUCAAUCUACAAUCUAUUGGGUUUGUGUUGGAAACCAUCUCUCUGUCUUUGUCUCUCUCCCUCUCCCCUUGCUGUGUACGUGUGUGUGUGUGUGUGCGCGUGUGUGUGUGCGUGCGUGUGUGUGUGUGUGUGUGUGAGAUGUUGUACCUGUUCCUCUGUUGUCGGAUACCUCAACUGGUCCCAUAACUGAGCAAUUAUGAAGAGCGUUACAGUAACAGUAUGUGCAAGGAUCUCUGUGAUCUGUAGACACAGAUAAAGAAAAUGCUAUUUAUGUACACAGUGGGGUUUUUUUCAUCUCUAAAGAAAAGUGAAGAUAUAUCCUUUGCGGAAAACCAGAAAUAGCUAGAGAAAAUCAUGUUAAACAAAUCGAUUAGUCUCAGUCAAGUGCUGCAUGUUUUCGUUCAUUUGUGGGACUCAGAUAUUGUGAUAUUAUGGAUACAUAAACUCAUGUGUGUGCCCAUGACAUGAAAGUAGAAAUAUGAAUGUUUCUCAGAAUAUUGUCUAAGAAACCGAAGGGAUUAAUGGAGGAAAGGGCAGAAAGAGCAGGCUAGUGGUAAUGAGAGGAAGUAUGCUCAAAAUAUGUUAGAUAUUUGUAUGAUCAUGGCCUCAUGCAACCUUAUAUAUAAUAACCAUACCUUUCUAUGCUAGGCAUGCUAGCACAUGCCCAGAAGCCUUGGACUUGCGAGGCUGAGACAUGAAGAUCUCCAAAAAUUUGAGGCCAGCCUGGGCUACAGAGUUUCACUGGACC